rnacentral:rRNA from 1 species
UACGUAGGGGGCUAGCGUUGUCCGGAUUUAUUGGGCGUAAAGAGCUCGUAGGCGGUUUGUCGCGUCGACUGUGAAAACCUACAGCUUAACUGUGGGCUUGCAGUCGAUACGGGCAGACUUGAGUUCGGUAGGGGAGACUGGAAUUCCUGGUGUAGCGGUGAAAUGCGCAGAUAUCAGGAGGAACACCGGUGGCGAAGGCGGGUCUCUGGGCCGAUACUGACGCUGAGGAGCGAAAGCGUGGGGAGCAAACAGG